GCUGGGCACUGUGGCUUAUGCCUGUAAUCCCAGUACUUUGGAGGCCAAGGUGGGAGGAUUGCUUGAGGCCAGGGGUUCAAGGCCAACUUGGCCAACAUAGCAAGAUCCCAUCUUGU
rnacentral:SRP_RNA from 1 species